rnacentral:rRNA from 1 species
GAACGCUGGCGGCGUGCUUAACACAUGCAAGUCGAACGGAAAGGCCCUGCUUUUGUGGGGUGCUCGAGUGGCGAACGGGUGAGCAACACGUGAGUAACCUGCCCUUGACUUUGGGAUAACUUCAGGAAACUGGGGCUAAUACCGGAUAGGAGCUCCUGCUGCAUGGUGGGGGUUGGAAAGUUUCGGCGGUUGGGGAUGGACUCGCGGCUUAUCAGCUUGUUGGUGGGGUAGUGGCUUACCAAGGCUUUGACGGGUAGCCGGCCUGAGAGGGUGACCGGCCACAUUGGGACUGAGAUACGGCCCAGACUCCUACGGGAGGCAGCAGUGGGGAAUAUUGCACAAUGGGCGGAAGCCUGAUGCAGCAACGCCGCGUGCGGGAUGACGGCCUUCGGGUUGUAAACCGCUUUCGCCUGUGACGAAGCGUGAGUGACGGUAAUGGGUAAAGAAGCACCGGCUAACUACGUGCCAGCAGCCGCGGUGAUACGUAGGGUGCGAGCGUUGUCCGGAUUUAUUGGGCGUAAAGGGCUCGUAGGUGGUUGAUCGCGUCGGAAGUGUAAUCUUGGGGCUUAACCCUGAGCGUGCUUUCGAUACGGGUUGACUUGAGGAAGGUAGGGGAGAAUGGAAUUCCUGGUGGAGCGGUGGAAUGCGCAGAUAUCAGGAGGAACACCAGUGGCGAAGGCGGUUCUCUGGGCCUUUCCUGACGCUGAGGAGCGAAAGCGUGGGGAGCGAACAGGCUUAGAUACCCUGGUAGUCCACGCUGUAAACGGUGGGUACUAGGUGUGGGGUCCAUUCCACGGGUUCCGUGCCGUAGCUAACGCUUUAAGUACCCCGCCUGGGGAGUACGGCCGCAAGGCUAAAACUCAAAGGAAUUGACGGGGCCCCGCACAAGCGGCGGAGCAUGCGGAUUAAUUCGAUGCAACGCGUAGAACCUUACCUGGGUUUGACAUGGAUCGGGAGUGCUCAGAGAUGGGUGUGCCUCUUUUGGGGUCGGUUCACAGGUGGUGCAUGGCUGUCGUCAGCUCGUGUCGUGAGAUGUUGGGUUAAGUCCCGCAACGAGCGCAACCCUUGUUCACUGUUGCCAGCACGUUAUGGUGGGGACUCAGUGGAGACCGCCGGGGUCAACUCGGAGGAAGGUGGGGAUGACGUCAAGUCAUCAUGCCCCUUAUGUCCAGGGCUUCACGCAUGCUACAAUGGCUGGUACAGAGAGUGGCGAGCCUGUGAGGGUGAGCGAAUCUCGGAAAGCCGGUCUCAGUUCGGAUUGGGGUCUGCAACUCGACCUCAUGAAGUCGGAGUCGCUAGUAAUCGCAGAUCAGCAACGCUGCGGUGAAUACGUUCCCGGGGCUUGUACACACCGCCCGUCAAGUCAUGAAAGUUGGUAACACCCGAAGCCGGUGGCCUAACCGUUGUGGGGGAGCCGUCGAAGGUGGGACUGGUGAUUAGGACUA